rfam:Candidatus Buchananbacteria bacterium RIFCSPHIGHO2_02_FTLL_38_8 rifcsphigho2_02_scaffold_36093, whole genome shotgun sequence.
CUCUAUAAUAAAAAUUUUCCACAGACAAUGGGUGUUUCGUAGUGGCGGAACUUAAAUAUCCCAUCGAGGAAAAAAUCUCUGUUUUAGUCUGUGGAAAAACCACAGUUUUUUAAUUAAAUUA